rnacentral:miRNA from 1 species
AGUGUGUGUUUGUGUGUGAGUGUGUGUUUGUGUGUUUGUGUGUAUUAUCCUGGUUUCCUCUUUCUAGCUUUGAAGUGUUUUCUACAGGAAGCUUCACACUGUUUACUCCGCUGAAACAUUCCUUCCUGCAGCCCCCUCUACACCCCACACACACACACACACACACACACACACACACACACACACACACA